AUGGAGUUGGAGGGGAGGCCGGCGCUGAUGCUCAAGGAGUGGCUUGAGCUGGAGUUCACCGCGGAGCUCUCCCGCGACGGCUUCGGGUGCUACCCGCGCCACCUGGUCGCCGAGCUCCGUACCACUCGGCGGAACGGCGACGUCAUCGCGAGGGUAUCCGCCGCGGUGAGGGCCGCGCUGUUCCAGCCGUCGGGAAGGGAGGGGGAGGUCGCGCUCGCCGGGAAUUCUCCGAGGAGGCUGCGUAUGGGCUUCUGGAAGAAGCGGAGGGGUGAGGAGGCGGUGGACAGGAGGGCGCCCAGCUGUUCACCGUCGACUACCGCCGGCGGGAGGAGGGAUGGUUCGUCGCCGGCGAUGCUGCCGCGACGACGGAACCCGGAGCGUGGCCAAAGCGUCGGUGCAGGUGCCGCCGGCCGCCGUAGCAACGAAACCAAGGUUGCGGGGCUCGAGGCGACGCCCCACUUGGAGCAGGAGCGAGAGCGGAAGCAGCGUCUGAGCCCGGUCUCUGUGAUGGAUUUCCUCAGCCAGGAUGAAGACGACGACGGAAACGAGGACGAGAACGGCGACGGCGUGGAUGGAGACGACGAGACCGCGUCGCCGACGUUCCAGCAAAGCAUAGCCAACAUUCGAAGAGCAAGUCAAGAGUUGCUUCAAAAAAUCCGGCAGUUUGAGCAGCUAGGUGAGCUAGACGUAUCCGACGUGGACGAUGCUACCACGGCCACGGAGGAUCUAAGCUACAACAUGUUGGAAACAGAUUCCAUAGAAGACAGUGACGAUGCGUCUGCACAGGGCAUACUAGACCUGCUAGAAGCAAGCUCCUCAGGAUCCAGCCACUGCUUUCAGAAGCUUCUGGUAGAUUUCUUUCGGGACGAUAAAACCCCAAGAAAUCUAGGCCGAGGAAAGGUGUUGCUGGAGACCGCUCAAGCAUGGCUGGAUGGGCAAAAUUGUUCAUUAAGACCAAUUUGGACAGUGGUGAAGACGGAGAUUGCGUCCAUCGAGCAGUGGAGAUGCCUCAGAGAAGACGAAAAGACUCUACUAGCCGCUGAUAUGGAGAGUGAUAUCAUCUCGUCGUUGAUCGGAGAAUUGGUUGACGAGUUAUAUUGA
rnacentral:rRNA from 1 species